rnacentral:lncRNA from 1 species
UUCUUCCCAAAAGACUCGAAAGGCCUUAUCGUUUGUGCAAAUUGAAAUCGUAAGACUUGUAAAAAAAAUUAAUUGUUGUGGAUGCAAAAACACAAAAUAAACAUGCAAUGCGUUUGAUUCAGUUAACGAGAAAAAGACUAUGGUUGAAUGGAGUUGUUGGGGGUUUACAAUUUCAUCUUAUCAGCUUUCUCUUAUCUACUCCUCCUGUUUAGUUUGCUUUGUUAUCUAAUUGUCAUGCAAACUUUCUUGGCCUACCCUUAACCUGAUCCCUUGGCGAAAAGAGCCUAUUACUAAUUACUGGCUUGCUAUCCCUAGCCUCCCCUAGUAAUUAAUUAUGCGUUAAGAACAAAAGAAAAAACAAUUGGUCGUCCUACCCUCUAUCCCUAGGUUGGUAUUGCUUAAUCAAGGAAUUUCUCACCAGUUCAUGACAGUACCGUACGUCCCCGUAUCAAUAAAGACAAACAACAGUUAUCAAAUGAGUUAAACGAUAAAAGCUUUAAGCGCAGGUGAGAACCCAACAAUUGAUAAUCAAAGCAUACGACAAGCAUAAAAAUAAAUAAGAGUUUCAAUAAAAGAGAGUUUCAAAAGAUUACAUUGUUUCCCCCAACAGCAAAAGGGUUUAGUUCACCAUUGUCAUGGUGAACUUAGAUGAAAAAUGAUGGAUAAAUGGAAAAGCAAACCCUAGAUAGGAUAAAAAGGAGCCUAAGCAUCCAAAAGAUCUUCUCCAAGGAGUGAAAAUUAGGUUUGGCCGUCCUCUUCUAUCAAAAGAAUCAUUCUCAAAUCGUAAUAGGGCUAUUUAUAGCUGAGGAGCGUCACAGAAAAUAGGCCCAAGCCCAGCAGACAACCGCCC